rnacentral:lncRNA from 1 species
CAGCGUGUAUUGUCAUGGCACCAGGUGGUUGUUGCUACAUUCCUUGAUGUUGUUGCUGUUGUGUGCCUUGUUUCUACUGCUGUUGUGGUUGCUGACGUCCACCACCGCGAGAUGAGUUGUUAUUUUGUUGUCCUGUUCCACGCUCCCUUCCACGGCCUGACCCGAGCCACCCGAGUCGUUGAUAACAAUGUUCAUAAUCAUGAUUAUUUAUUCCACAAUAAGAGUAGGGAGGGCGAUCUAGGCGUUCUUUUCCUCCUCUUCCAUGCACGUGCGUUGCAAAACUAAUCAGCUCCCACUCCUCGCGUCCUCGAACAAUAUUCUUACACCUUUCUUCUUGGCUUACCAAUGAGUAAACUUUGUUGACUCAGUAGGAAGGGGAUCCUUGCUCAAGAUCUGGGACCGCAAAGUUCCAAAAAGUCAGUCGUCCAUACCCAUUAAAAAUUAAUGGGUUAGUUCAGUGUUAGUGCGACUUAUUAGUUUGGGUGCGGCAGCAUAAGAACAUCCACAUGUUACAUCUUCAUAACCUGUCAACUCUUCCCAUAAAGAUUUAAGUUUCGUGUAGUACGAAACAACGUUGGUUCCCUAUUGUUUAAGGGAAGCAAGUUCAGAUUUUAACUGGUUAAUCCGAGGGCCAUUGAUAACAGAGUAACGUUCCUUAAGAUCAUUCCACAUCUG